rnacentral:rRNA from 1 species
GACGAACGCUGGCGGCGCGCUUAACACAUGCAAGUCGAACGGAAAAGCCUGCUUUCCCUUGUGGAUUGCGGGUACUCGAGUGGCGAACGGGUGAGUAACACGUGAGUGAUCUGCCCCCAACUUGGGUAUAAGCCUGGGAAACUGGGUCUAAUUCCCGAUAGGACUGCAGGGUGGUGCCUGUGGUGGAAAACGAUUUUCUAGUGGUUGGGGAUGAGCUCGCGGCCUAUCAGCUUGUUGGUGGGGUAAUGGCCUACCAAGGCGGCGACGGGUAGCCGGCCUGAGAGGGUGGACGGCCACAUUGGGACUGAGAUACGGCCCAGACUCCUACGGGAGGCAGCAGUGGGGAAUAUUGCACAAUGGGCGGAAGCCUGAUGCAGCGACGCCGCGUGGGGGAUGACGGCCUUCGGGUUGUAAACUCCUUUCGACCGCGAGGAAGCCACCUGGUUGGAAGGGUGGUGACGGUAGUGGUAGAAGAAGCACCGGCUAACUACGUG